GACGAACGCUGGCGGCGUGCUUAACACAUGCAAGUCGAACGGAAAUUCCCUGCUUUUGUUUUUUUCUCGAUUGGCUAACUUGUGUUUAACACGUGUGUAACCUGCCCUUUACUUUGUUAUAACUUCUGGUAACUUGGUCUCAUACCCUAUAUUAUCUCCUGCUGCAUUUUGUUGUUUGUAUAGUUUCGGCGGUUGGGGAUUGACUCGCGGCUUCUCAGCUUGUUUGUGGGGUAGUGGCUUACCAAGGGUUUGACGGGUAUCCGGCCUGAGAGGGUGACCGGCGACAUUGGGACUGAGAGACGGACCAGAAUGCUACGGGAGGCAGUAGUGGGGAAUAUUGCAGAAGGGGAGGAAGCCUGAUGAAGAAAAGCGGCGAGCGGGAUGACGGCAUGCGGGGUGUAAAAAGAUUUAGAAUGUGAAGAAGAGUGAGUGACGGUAAUGGGUAAAGAAGCACCGGCUAACUACGUG
rnacentral:rRNA from 1 species